UGCUGCUGUUGAACAGAAGAGUAAAAGUCACAGUCUAUAGGAGAAAACUGCCUCUAAGAUUUCAGCUUGCAUUUUACACAACGUUUCCGGCAUUUCAUUCACCCAGAACUCAACCCACUCUUUGUACUUUCCUGGAAGUCCUAAGUCCUGUUGCAUCUCACCAGCUAGGUUGGUGGACCUCCUUUCUGAU